CCUUCAGGGACGCCUGCAGGAAGCCCUCCGGGUCCGAGAUGGUUUUCUUGGGCGACUCCAGCACCCCCAAGGGUGGACAGUUCCAUGGAACAGAUGGUUGAAGUGGCUCUGGAUUUGAGACCGCUGGUGCAGACCGGGACCCGGGACAGCUGGUCUGUGAUGCACGCCCACCUGCACCCGUCCGGCAGCCUGAGUGAGCGCCUCGGUGGGCUGGGGCUCCCGCUGCUUCCUGCUGAACCGGUGUGUCCAUCACAGCUCACCCGCCACCAUGGAGAGGCCCCAACUGGAAUGGGCCUCAAGAAAGAACCACUGACCCUUUCAAACGGGCCACACGUGGUACCAUGUAGCUUGAGUGGCACUACUGUUACUGCGGGAUUUGUCAUUCAGCAAACAGACUCUCAUCAGAGAAACAACUGUUAAUGGCCUGUCCAUCUGGCUUCACUCAGCAGAUGAGAAUUUAUGAGUUCUUCCCACUGGGAUGGACAGGUUCACAGGACUCAAAUCUGAACGGAUGGCCUGUCAGCCAUGGCGUCCAUCCAAGGAGGAAAUUGGGCUCCGGUCAGGACAGAACCCGUAUAAGGCAUUCCAAGUGGAAGGCAUUUCAUUCAGGGAAUUGCUCACACAGCUGACCGAAAGCUAAAGUGUGUCAAAAAGGAGAAGGCCUUCUUCGUGGCCUUGACACUCCUUCAUCAGGGGAAUAUGGGCAGACUUUGAGCCAGUCCUGCCCCCGAGAGUGUGGCCACAGCGAUGCCCUGCGACUCCUGAGGCUGGAUGACACGGUGGGUCAUGCAUCUCCACCCCGCGUUCAGGACCCUCGCUUUGGAACCCAGCCUCCCUGCCCUGCGGAAGCCCAAACUAGACCCCAUGUUCAAGCCUGGCUGAGUUCCUGCACAUCCAGCCUGCACCUCACCUUUAUUUAAGCCGUCUGUGUUUUGUACACUGAUCGGGCUGUAGUAACUGUUUCCCCAGGUACAAGAGAGUCAUUCUGUCCUUCUCCCAGAGUGAUUUAGUAGUUUCAGACCAUCUCUAGCUACGUUCUGUAAGCAGAAGUCAGUUAGAGACCAUGAAAGAAAAGAAUGUGAUGUGGUCUGAUCUCUACUGCUUAAUGACAGGAGAAUCAGCAAUAUUUUAAGUUGGAUUCUAAUCAAAUUUUAAUUAUAUAAGCAAUCCAUACACCACUCACAUAAGUCCAUUUAAAAUACACUUUAAUUAUGUAAUUGCAUUUAAAAGCAAGCCCUCUAAAACAAAAACAUAAUAGAUAAAGCUAAUGCUCCACUUGAACACCCACACUCUCCUGUUCCUGCUUCCCCAUAGGGGACAGUCCCCAGUUUGAUACGGUCUCUGCAGACCUCUUGUGCAUUUACACGUGUGUGUUCUCGCAGAAAAUGCGUGCUGUGGCUAAACUAUGCAGUGUCAUUUUGUGGGGGUUUGGGACAUAAACAGUGACACGCCAGAGGGUUUUCUGCACCAUCCUUCCCCGCUUGGUCUCUGUAACCACACACCAGCCCCCUUUCUGCUUUCAACGGCCCUGUACCUGUACAGGGCCUGGGGGUCAGCAGCUCGCGCGUUUAUGUAAUGGGCUUGGCGUUCCUGUGUCUCCUUCUCUCCUCAGCUUUGUUCAUCUGAGGCCAUUUCUGGGUGGUUAAGAGAAAAUAGCUAACUGUAUUGCAUUCCCCAAGCUGGCCCUCUCUUACGUGUUCUCUGUUGGGUAUGUUAGGGUUGGAGCCCUCUUUACUGCACUUUGUGCUGUCACGUGAAGAGUAUUUCUCAGCACAUUUGGUCAGUUAUUACCAACAUAUGGAAAAGCUAUUUAUUUGAUUCUGUUGAUCAUAUUUAUCAUCUUGCUAAUUUUGGGAUUAAUGGUAAAUGCUAACUGGGGACUAGAUAGGAGUAAUCUUAUGGGAUGUAUUA